rnacentral:rRNA from 1 species
GCACAAGCAGUGGAGUAUGUGGUUUAAUUCGAAGCAACGCGAAGAACCUUACCAGGUCUUGACAUCCAACUAACGAAGUAGAGAUACAUUAGGUGCCCUUCGGGGAAAGUUGAGACAGGUGGUGCAUGGUUGUCGUCAGCUCGUGUCGUGAGAUGUUGGGUUAAGUCCCGCAACGAGCGCAACCCUUGCUAUUAGUUGCUACGCAAGAGCACUCUAAUAGGACUGCCGUUGA